rnacentral:antisense_RNA from 1 species
AGAGCUCCCAGAACUUUGCACAUAACUCCCUAUGUCAGAGUGGGCAGAAAGGGUGAAAAUCAGCUUUGAGGUCUUCAGUUAUUUGCUGGACAAUUCCCUGAUGAUAUUAAAGCACCCAGUAGAAGAAUGUGCCUUAUCAAAAACAUAUCAAUCAUGAUGAUCCUUUAAAAUAUAUUUAUUAGUUGAUUGCUUACGGCUGUUUUAGACUAAAAGACCAACACAAAAGGUUAAAGAUGCUAACCACUUUCAAACAACCAUCUGAGAAAACUAAUUCCCAACGUAUUGGAGUAGGUGAGAGAAUAAAAGGUGUGUUAUUGAAAGGGAAUUUGGAACAAGUAAUCAUUCUGAAUGUGUGUACAUCAGAGACUCCUCAAAGCCUGCCUGGCAAUCUGUUUUUUAUGAAGUUUCAUUUAUCUUUGAGCAUCUUAUUAACUGAAAAUAAAAUUGGUCUCAUUCCAAUUAUGUACCAGUAACUCUCUUACAAACUUUGAGCCCUGAGCAAAUCCUGUGGGAUAAUGUGCUUCUGCACGUUGCCAAGAGAUCGAGUAGCAAUCAUCAUGG